AGAGCGAUGCACAAAAAGUUGAAAGCGUUCUCGAAACCCUAAACAAAUGCCGGCGGGACAUGGUGGAGCGUAGAGCGGACCUCUCCCUUCCCAUGCAACGUGACUGCCUCAUCCACUACUUCAAAUGCCUUUCCAUGGUUGAGCCACUCUUCACCUCUAUCUCUUCCGACGCCGACCCCAUUCUCUUUGUCUGGUACGACGCCUUCAACCCUGACCAUCGAGAUGGGGUCUCCUCACAGCGCAGCGCCAUCCAAUUGGAGAAGGCCGCUGUUGUCUUCAACCUUGGAGCCAUCUACAGCCAGAUUGCUGCCUCUUGCGACCGUACCACCGCCCUUGGCCGUCACCUUGCAAUCGAAGCCUUCAAAGUUGCCGCCAAUUUCUUCCGCAGACUCUGGAAGGUUUUUGCCAAGCACGUGGUCUCCGCCACCCUCGAUUUAACUUUCCUCUUCGCCGAGUUUCUGCACCUCCUCUUCUCCGCUCAGGCUUCCGAGCUCGAAUUACACGAACUCCUCAACAAAAACGACGCCAGUUACGCUUUCCAACAACACCGAUGUGCCCUAGCGUUUAGAUCGGUUUAUGAGCUUUAUCGUAGAGCAUAUGAACUGAUGCGUACUGAUUCGGCUGCACGGAAACAUGUCGACUCUUUUGACCAAACCUGGGUAACUCAUGUUUACCAGAAGGUGAAAUUCUUUGAGGCGGAGGCUCGUCAGAGGCAUUCAUCCAUCCUACCCGAAUCCGAGCAACCUGAUGUAUUCUCAAGGGUCAAAUCUUGUGCUCUUGAUCAUGAUGCAGAAUGUGUCACUGAGAUAUUAGUUAGAAGGAUUUGCAAGCUCUCGAGGAGAUCCAAGCUAGGACCAUCGCAAGUGUACAUUGACCUCAUCCUCUCCGAAUACAGUCCUUUUAAGAUUAUGAAGGAUGGAAAGCUGGUGGCUUACCCAUGGGACAUGCCUCCUCCUUAUCCAACAAAUUCGGCAAUCCUCUCGUCUUUGAUGUCUUCUUCGUAUUCUGAUAUUCUUGCAUUCCUUCCUUUGAAGAAGAGUGAGCCCUUGAAUCUCUAUGAGUCACUGCGCAAUUACUUUGUCCUCAAAUACUCUGAGAGCGUGGCAAAGAGAGUAGAAGGCCUUCUCCAAAUGCUACACAAAUUGCGCAAUGAGAUGCUGCGUGAUGACCUUUCGCUACCCCUUCGCCGUGACUGCCUCAUCCGUUAUUUGAAAUACCUUUGCAUGAUUGAGCCUAUCUUCCCUAUGAAUGCCUCACCCAACCCACCUAUCUUUGUUUGGUACAAUGCCAUCAACCCUCAACAGCACUCUUCUCAGCAUAACAUCCAUUUGGAGAAGGCCUCUGUUCUCUUCAACCUGGGAGCCCUCUGCACCCACAUUGCUCUCUCCUGUGAUCAAGGCACCAUCCAAGGCUAUCGCCUUGCCAUCGACGCCUUAAAUAAUGCUGCACAUUGGUUCGAUCAACUGUCGGUGUUUGAGUCUCUCAAUGCAUCUGGCACCAUUGACUUGUCAGAACCAUACAUUGAUAGGGUAGUAGAACAGUUUUCCGGCUUGAAAUUGAAGUUUUGUGGUCUCCAACCUUGUGGAUCAUCAUUACCUGGAUAUAUUGCUUUAACUUAUUUUCCGCGGACAUCUGAGCUUUUAGCUUAUGAUCCCAGUGAUGUCACUGAACAGUUUCUUUUAGGGUAUUGUAAGGCUCACUACCUGCUUGAAAGGGUAUGUGAAGCAACAUGCUUGGACCUUCUCUCUGAGGUGCAUGUUUUGGUGUCUAGGAAAUUCCUUGAAUCAAUUGAGAAGAUUGUUAUUAGCCAACGUCCUGUGUGGUGAGUCGAUGCUGCCCAGAUUGAUAAACAAUGUGAUUUUGGUCUUCUUAUGUCUGAUCAUUCUGUGUUCUCUCAUGCCCAAAUGGGGAUUUCUUCCUCAAUCUAGAUUUGUAUCUGAAGGAAAUGCUAUCAAAACGAGAGUAACUCGAUUUGAAAUGCAUCAAGCUCUGAAGUUGCAUCAAGGCGCGAUAUCAGAGCUAAGUCAAUACAAUCCACUUGAUCUAUUCUUGGGAUCUAAAGAGAGGAUUCGUAAGGCUACCAAGGAUCUCUUUAUUACUCCUCAGAACAAUUUUCGUGUAUUUUUGAAUGACGUUCUCAUACUCAGAGGACUGGGAGGUGGCACAAGGAAAACAGAUUCGCACAUGCCUCAAGCAUUUGAGGAAAGGCUGAAGUCUGUCGUUGAUGCCCAUAAAGGUCAUUGUACGGAGAACUUGUUUACGCUCGUUGCUGAGACCAUGCACAAAUCAAGAGUCCUUGAUCAGCUCCUUGAGGUUCAGAAGUUCGACAAUUUCGACAUAGAAGGAGCCAUCCAUGCAUAUUAUAACAUGAGCAAUGCUAGGGACCAGCAACUUUUGUAAUUGGUAGCCAUCAAAUAGCCAUCAAUGAUGAUCUAAUGGUGUGAGAUGUCAUCCAAUGACUCACCUUUCUCUCUGUUGGUUACAUGCUGACCAAAAUUCAACAAAACUGCUGGCUCCUAGACUUUUCCUUAUAACAUUUCUUCUUACCAUCCAUUCAUGCA